UGUCCAGUAGCACCUUAGAGACCAACUAAGUUUGUUCUGGGAAUAAGCUUUUGUGUGGAAAGAAGUAUCUGAAGAAGUGUGCAUGCACACGAAAGCUUAUACCCAGAACAAACUUAGUUGGUCUCUAAGGUGCUACUGGACA